rnacentral:lncRNA from 1 species
AAAUGAUAAAAAAAAAAAAAAUUUAUUUUAAACAACAACAUAUAAACAUUCGUCAAAACACCUGCAGCAGAUUCAUACUGAUGAUGUCAUAUCCCUGCGCGGAAAAUGGGGGGGUUUAACGCCGUGUUCACUUGCUAGUCGGAACUAGGAAAUUCAGACUUUCUAACUGGUUGAACGCGGGCGCGUGUGUAACCACAACCAGUUAGCAUGUCUGAAAUGUCCAAGUUCCGAUUAGCACGUGAACACGGAACGGGAUUGUUUUGAAAGGAAGCCAUUUUGUUUUUAGUCACCCUCUACCUGCCUGCCAUGUUCUCAUCAAGGCAAAACAUUUUAUCAACAUAAAAGAAAUGUAAAAAAAAACAAACAUAAUUGAAUGUUAUAAAUCUAUCAAAUAAAAUCUCCAGUUUUAAACCAAUCCCUUUUUCAUAUAAAACAUAUAUAUAUAUAUUUAUCAUACCUUUAAAAAAAAUAUAGAUUUAACAAUGAAGCAACUCCACCAGCCAACAGAGCCGAGAAGAACAAGAUACAUAUUUUUAGAACAGUUUGUUGACACAGAAUUAAAACUAUGAUCUGCCUUUAUUUCUGGUUUACAUGCUGUACUUGUUUUCAAGAAUAUGUUUUGGUAUAGAACAUGAUAUUAUUCAAUGUCUGCAUACAGAAAACCCCCGUCGUAUUGUUGUCAUAUCUAUACAGAACAUUAUAUUAUUCAAUGUCUGCAUACAGAAAACCCCCGUCGUAUUGUUGUCAUAUCUAUACAGAACAUUAUAUUAUUCAAUGUCUGCAUACAGAAAACCCCCCGUCGUAUUGUUGUCAUAUCUAUACAGAACAUGAUAUUAUUCAAUGUCUGCAUACAGAAAACCCCCGUCGUAUUGUUGUCAUAUCUAUACAGAACAUGAUAUUAUUCAAUGUCUGCAUACAGAAAACCCUCCGUCGUAUUGUUGUCAUAUCUAUACAGAACAUGAUAUUAUUCAAUGUCUGCAUACAGAAAACCCCCGUCGUAUUGUUGUCAUAUCUAUACAGAACAUGAUAUUAUUCAAUGUCUGCAUACAGAAAACCCCCCGUCGUAUUGUUGUCAUAUCUAUACAGAACACGAUAUUAUUCAAUGUCUGCAUACAGAAAACCCCCGUCGUAUUGUUGUCAUAUCUAUACAGAACAUUAUAUUAGUCAAUGUCUGCAUACAGAAAACCCUCCGUCGUAUUGUUGUCAUAUCUAUACAGAACAUGAUAUUAGUCAAUGUCUGCAUACAGAAAACCCUCCGUCGUAUUGUUGUCAUAUCUAUACAGAACAUUAUAUUAUUCAAUGUCUGCAUACAGAAAACCCCCGUCGUAUUGUUGUCAUAUCUAUACAGAACAUUAUAUUAGUCAAUGUCUGCAUACAGAAAACCCCCGUCGUAUUGUUGUCAUAUCUAUACAGAACACGAUAUUAUUCAAUGUCUGCAUACAGAAAACCCCCGUCGUAUUGUUGUCAUAUCUAUACAGAACACGAUAUUAUUCAAUGUCUGCAUACAGAAAACCCCCCGUCGUAUUGUUGUCAUAUCUAUACAGAACAUGAUAUUAUUCAAUAUCUGCAUACAGAAAACCCCCGUCGUAUUGUUGUCAUAUCUAUACAGAACAUGAUAUUAUUCAAUGUCUGCAUACAGAAAACCCCCGUCGUAUUGUUGUCAUAUCUAUACAGAACAUUAUAUUAUUCAAUGUCUGCAUACAGAAAACCCCCGUCGUAUUGUUGUCAUAUCUAUACAGAACAUGAUAUUAUUCAAUGUCUGCAUACAGAAAACCCCCCGUCGUAUUGUUGUCAUUAUCUGUCAUAUAUUUUCACACACCUGUUUCUCAGCCUUAGAAGGAGUAAGUUGUCCCGGGGUCAUGUUGAAUACAUUAAGCAAAGGGCACCAAGAUCAGUGGGUUUACAAAUGACUAUACAUUAUUCACGUGUAUGUGGAAGACGAUUCAAGUAACGUCUUCUGUACAUCUGUCUCUUUGUCUCCUGUCCUCUCUGCAGGUCAUCAGAGCAGUGCUGCUUUCUCCUGUCCAUAUCAGACACAGUGUUGUCCACCUGGUUUAAAUCUCUGUCUGUUUGUGUCCUCUCUUCUCUGCAGGUCAUCAGAGCAGUGCUGGUGUCUCCUGUCCAUAUCAGACACAGUGUUGUCCACCUGGUUUAAAUCUCUGUCUGUUUGUGUCCUCUCUUCUCUGCAGGUCAUCAGAGCAGUGCUGGUGUCUCCUGUCCAUAUCAGACACAGUGUUGUCCACCUGGUUUAAAUCUCUGUCAGUAAUGUUGUCCACGUAGUUAAAUCUGUGUCAGAUGCAUUGUGUAUUCUAUAUCCUGUCAGGGAUGUUAUCCAGGUAGAGUAUUCUAUAUCCUGUCAGUGAUGUUGUAUUCUAUAUCCUGUCAGUGAUGUUAUCCAGGUAGAGUAUUCUAUAUCCUGUCAGUGAUGUUAUCCAGGUAGAGUAUUCUAUAUCCUGUCAGUGAUGUUAUCCAGGUGGAGUAUUCUAUAUCCUGUCAGGGAUGUUAUCCAGGUAGAGUAUUCUAUAUCCUGUCAGUGAUGUUGUCCAGGUAGAGUAUUCUAUAUCCUGUCAGUGAUGUUAUCCAGGUAGAGUAUUCUAUAUCCUGUCAGUGAUGUUGUCCAGGUAGAGUAUUCUAUUUCCUGUCAGUGAUAUUGUAUUCUAUAUCCUGUCAGUGAUGUUGUCCAGGUGUUGUAUUCUAUAUCCUGUCAGUGAUGUUAUCCAGGUAGAGUAUUCUAUUUCCUGUCAGUGAUGUUAUCCAGGUAGAGUAUUCUAUAUCCUGUCAGUGAUGUUAUCCAGGUAGAGUAUUCUAUAUCCUGUCAGUGAUGUUGUCCAGGUAGAGUAUUCUAUUUCCUGUCAGUGAUGUUGUAUUCUAUUUCCUGUCAGUGAUGUUAUCCAGGUAGAGUAUUCUAUAUCCUGUCAGUGAUGUUGUCCAGGUAGAGUAUUCUAUAUCCUGUCAGGGAUGUUAUCCAGGUAGAGUAUUCUAUAUCCUGUCAGUGAUGUUGUAUUCUAUAUCCUGUCAGUGAUGUUGUCCAGGUAGAGUAUUCUAUAUCCUGUCAGUGAUGUUAUCCAGGUAGAGUAUUCUAUUUCCUGUCAGUGAUGUUAUCCAGGUAGAGUAUUCUAUUUCCUGUCAGUGAUGUUGUCCAGGUAGAGUAUUCUAUAUCCUGUCAGUGAUGUUGUCCAGGUAGAGUAUUCUAUAUCCUGUCAGUGAUGUUAUCCAGGUAGAGUAUUCUAUUUCCUGUCAGGGAUGUUAUCCAGGUAGAGUAUUCUAUAUCCUGUCAGUGAUGUUGUCCAGGUAGAGUAUUCUAUAUCCUGUCAGGGAUGUUGUCCAGGUAGAGUAUUCUAUAUCCUGUCAGUGAUGUUGUCCCUAAUGGAAAGGCAUGUCAGAGCCCUGUCCUCCAGUGAGUCAUGUUUUCUCAUCUUUUCCAUUGUGAAUUUCAUCCGUUUCUCCUCUCAGAGGUAAAAGACAGUGAUGGUGUUUUCUAUCCGAUGCUUGUUAGCUGAGGAGGUCUCCAGCGGUCGGAGGUUGGUAUACCGCGGGGUGUUUCAGGAAGCGUCAUACAGCAAAAGGACUGCUCAUCUUUCACCACCUGAAAACCAGAGAAGAAAACAGUAUUCUAGUUCCAGUAGACAGUGAGGUCCAGUUUGUGUUUUUCACCUAGAUGUCUCCGUACUUUUUCAAUCCCAAUCCAGCCAUUUAGUUUAUAAAUAACACAUUGUUUCUCUUCAGGCUAAUUAUUUGACUUGGAAUAGGAAAAUGCCACACAAAGCUAUAGUACCUAUCGGUGCAGCUGUAUGGCUCUGAAUGGUCAUAUCGGACGGCAACAGGAACAGGAAAUGAACCCACAGGAAAAAACCUUAAGACCAUACCGUAGUGACACAGGGGACAUAACCUCUGAUGAGCUCUGAGCUAAACUCACUGUCAGGAUGAAUAACUUACAGUAGAUGCUUUCGACAUCACUGUGCCAAACCAGCCUGACAUAGUGUAGAAGGGUUCUGACAUAGUGUAGAAGGGUCCUGACAUAGUGUAGAAGGGUCCUAACAUAGUAGAGAAGGGUCCUGACAUAGUGUAGAAGGGUCCUGACAUAGUGUAGAAGGGUCCUGACAUAGUAGAGAAGGGUCCUGACAUAGUGUAGAAGGGUCCUGACAUAGUGUAGAAGGGUCCUGACAUAGUGUAGAAGGGUCCUGACAUAGUGUAGAAGGCUCCUGACAUAGUGUAGAAGGGUCCUGACAUAGUAGAGAAGGGUCCUGACAUAGUGUAGAAGGGUCCUGACAUAGUGUAGAAGGGUCCUGACAUAGAUUAGAAGGGUCCUGACACCGUGGAGAAAGGUCCUGACAUAGUGGAGAAGGGUCCUGACAUAGUGGAGAAGGGUCCUGACAUAGUGGAGAAGGGUCCUGACAUAGUGUAGAAGGGUCCUGACAUAGUGUAGAAGUGUCUUGACAUAGUGUAGAAGGGUUCUGACAGUGUAAAAGGGUUCUGACACCAUAGAAGGGUCCUGACAUAGUGGAGAAGGGUCCUGACAUAGUGUAGAAGGGUCCUGACAUAGUGGAGAAAGGUCCUGACAUAGUGGAGAAGGGUCCUGACAUAGUGGAGAAGGUUCCUGACAUAGUGUAGAAGGGUCCUGACAUAGUGUAGAAGAUUUCCUACAUUGUAAAAGGGUCCUGACAUAGUGUAGAAGGGUCCUGACAUAGUGUAAAGGGUCCUGGCAUAGUGUAGAAGGGUCCUGACAUAGUGGAGAAGGGUCCUGACAUAGUGUAGAAGAUUUCCAACAUUGUAGAAGGGUCCUGACAUAGUGUAGAAGAUUUCCUAAAUUGUAAAAGGGUCCUGACAUAGUGUAGAAGGGUCCUGACAUAGUGUAAAGGGUCCUGGCAUAGUGUAGAAGGGUCCUGUCAUAGUGGAGAAGGGUCCUGACAUAGUGUAGAAGAUUUCCUACAUUGUAAAAGGGUCCUGACAUAGUGUAAAAGGAUCCUGACAUAGUGGAGAAGGGUCCUGACAUAGUGUAGAAGAUUUCCUACAUUGUAGAAGGGUCCUGACAUAGUGUAGAAGGGUCCUGACAUAGUGUAGAAGAUUUCCUACAUUGUAGAAAGGUCCUGACAUAGUGGAGAAGGGUCCUGACAUAGUGGAGAAGGGUCCUGACAUAGUGGAGAAGAGUCCUGACAUAGUGUAGAAGAUUUUCUACAUUGUAGAAGGGUCCUGACAUAGUGUAGAAGGGUCAUGACAUAGUGUAAAAGGGUCCUGACAUAGUGAAUAAGGGUCCUGACAUAGUGUAAAAGGGUCCUGACAUAGUGUAGAAGGGUCCUGACAUAGUGUAGAAGGGUCCUGGCAUAGUGUGGAAGGGUCCUGUCAUAGUGGAGAAGGGUCCUGACAUAGUGUAGAAGAUUUCCUACAUUGUAAAAAGGUCCUGACAUAGUGUAAAAG